UGGCUCAAGCAAUCCACCGAAGCUGUGGCAUUCAUAUUUGUACUCGGCACCGACCUCGGUCGGUGUCCAGGUGUGUGGAUGGGUAGGGGAGCGUCGUGCAGCGUGUGAAGCAGCAGAGUGAUCUAGUUGUGGAUGCUGCACGAGUGAGAAUGCAGGCAUGAGUAGCGAAUGACGGGUGAGAAACCCGUCCGCCGAAUGAUCAAGGGUUCCAGGGUCAAGCUAAUCUGCCCUGGGUAAGUCGGGACCUAAUGCGAGGCCGACAGGCGUAGUCGAUGGACAACGGGUUGAUAUUCCCGUACCGGCAUUAACACGACCCGACCGAACCUGGUGAUGCUAAAACCGUGAAACCAUGAUGUCUUCGGACGGAUUGGCGGAUCUGUUGACCCGAACUGGUAUUAGGUGCACUAAGGAGUGACGCAGGAGGGCAGUCCAACCGCGGCGAUGGUAGGCGCAAGCUGAUCCGCGGGCAAGGUCGUAGGGCGAGACAUAGGCAAAUCCGUGUCUCAUUAAGCCUGAGAACCGAGGCGGACCCGUUUAGGGGAAGUGGAUGAUCCCAUGCUGCCGAGAAAAACUUCGUAGUGAGUGUUAGAGCCGCCCGUACCCCAAACCGACACAGGUGAUCAGGUAGAGAAUACCAAGGCGAUCGAGUGAACCAUGGUUAAGGAACUCGGCAAAAUGCCCCCGUAACUUCGGGAGAAGGGGGGCCUGAUGCGUGACACCACUUGCUGGUGGAAGCGUUGAUGGCCGCAGAGACCAGGCCCAAGCGACUGUUUACUAAAAACACAGGUCCGUGCGAAGAAGUAAUUCGAUGUAUACGGACUGACGCCUGCCCGGUGCUGGAACGUUAAGGGGACAGGUUAGCUGGUUUAGGCCGGCGAAGCUUUGAACUUAAGCGCCAGUAAACGGCGGUGGUAACUAUAACCAUCCUAAGGUAGCGAAAUUCCUUGUCGGGUAAGUUCCGACCUGCACGAAUGGCGUAACGACUUGGGCGCUGUCUCAACCAUGGACUCGGCGAAAUUGCAUUACGAGUAAAGAUGCUCGUUACGCGCAGCAGGACGGAAAGACCCCGGGACCUUUACUACAACUUGGUAUUGGUGGUCGGUACAACUUGUGUAGGAUAGGUGGGAGACUGUGAAACUCGGACGCCAGUUCGGGUGGAGUCAUCGUUGAAAUACCACUCUGGUUGUUCUGGCUGUCUAACUUCGGUCCAUUAUCUGGAUCAGGGACAGUGCCUGGUGGGUAGUUUGACUGGGGCGGUCGCCUCCUAAAAGGUAACGGAGGCGCUCAAAGGUUCCCUCAGCCUGGUUGGCAAUCAGGUGUCGAGUUAAGUGCACAAGGGAGCUUGACUGUGAGACAAAAAAAAAA
rnacentral:rRNA from 1 species